rnacentral:tRNA from 1 species
GCGGGAGUAGCUCAGUUGGUUAGAGCGCCGCCCUGUCACGGCGGAGGUCGCGGGUUCGAGUCCCGUCUCUCGCGCCA